UACGGAGGGUGCGAGCGUUGUUCGGAAUCACUGGGCGUAAAGCGCGUGUAGGCGGUCCGCUAAGUCUGAUGUGAAAGCCCGGGGCUCACCCCCGGAAGGGCAUUGGAUACUGGUGGACUUGAGUCCCGGAGAGGAGGGUGGAAUUCCUGGUGUAGCGGUGAAAUGCGUAGAUAUCAGGAGGAACACCGGUGGCGAAGGCGGCCCUCUGGACGGUGACUGACGCUGAGACGCGAAAGCGUGGGGAGCAAACAGG
rnacentral:rRNA from 1 species